rnacentral:rRNA from 1 species
ACUGAGAGUAAUACCGUAUAAGCCCUUCGGGGGAAAGAUUUAUCGGUGAAAGAUCGGCCCGCGUUAGAUUAGCUAGUUGGUAGGGUAAUGGCCUACCAAGGCGACGAUCUAUAGCUGGUCUGAGAGGAUGAUCAGCCACACUGGGACUGAGACACGGCCCAGACUCCUACGGGAGGCAGCAGUGGGGAAUCUUGCACAAUGGGCGAAAGCCUGAUGCAGCCAUGCCGCGUGAAUGAUGAAGGCCUUAGGGUUGUAAAAUUCUUUCGCUAGGGAUGAUAAUGACAGUACCUAGUAAAGAAGCCCCGGCUAACUUCGUGCCAGCAGCCGCGGUAAUACGGAGGGUGCAAGCGUU